rnacentral:lncRNA from 1 species
UGUUUACACCUGGCGGCCAUCCUUUAAUUUAAAAGGCAGCGCGCAGUUAUAAAGAAGACUUGGGACGUAACCUGGCCUGAGAAGCAGGCGUGCUGCCCCUUUGGGUCUCCUGCAAGCUGAUCCAGAUGCAGAUUAACAGGGACUGGAGCAGAGACGGCCGCGUGGCACCUUGGAGGUCUAUUAAGGUUUCACCGCCACAGGUCUGAGGCAACACUGGGGCACCCCCUUCAGACAUGGGGAAAGAAGACUGCCAAGCAUUCGAAGGCCACGCAGCUGAGACGUGGCAGAGCUUGGGUUAAAAUCUUGUAAUGCUGACCUGCAAGGCCGGCACUGCCUCCGCCACACGCACUUCCGCCCACCGUGACGCGCUGCUUCCACCAUCAUGCACUUCUGCCAGGACGUGUGGCCUCGCAUCCGUGCUCCUUUGUGGGCAGCCUUCAUCCUUUGUAACGUAGAAUGGUUAUGAGUGGCUGGUCAGGUGGAUGGAAAUUUUCUAAAAUACAUCAGACCAUUUCUUUUGUUGCUUUCUGAGACGGAAUACAUGGAAAUUAACAAAACAUCUUAAGAACAAUUUUACUUUUUUCAAAUAUUCAAAUAGAUUUUUCUGAAUUGAACAUUGAUUUUGGCCCUGCGCUAUAAUUUAAUGAAAUCCUUAGUCAUUAACUCUGCCCCAUAAGCUAUGUAACCCCAGAAGUUUCCAUGAUUAAAAACAUUUCUGACAUCA